UGGGGAAUUUUGCGCAAUGGGGGAAACCCUGACGCAGCAACGCCGCGUGGAGGAUGAAGUCCCUUGGGAUGUAAACUCCUUUCGAUCGGGACGAUUAUGACGGUACCGGAAGAAGAAGCACCGGCUAACUCUGUG
rnacentral:rRNA from 1 species